AAGUCGUAACAAGGUCUCCGUUGGUGAACCAGCGGAGGGAUCAUUACAGAGUUUACAACUCCCAAACCCAAAUGUGAACAUACCAAUCGUUGCUUCGGCGGACUCGUCCCGGCGUCCGGGUGGCCUUGUGCUGCCCGCGGCCCGGAUCCAGGCGGCCGCCGGAGACCAUCAAACCCUUUGUAUUAUACGUAUCAUCUGAAUCCGCCGCAAGGCAAAACAAAUGAAUCAAAACUUUCAACAACGGAUCUCUUGGUUCUGGCAUCGAUGAAGAACGCAGCGAAAUGCGAUAAGUAAUGUGAAUUGCAGAAUUCAGUGAAUCAUCGAAUCUUUGAACGCACAUUGCGCCCGCCAGCAUUCUGGCGGGCAUGCCUGUUCGAGCGUCAUUUCAACCCUCGAGCUCCCUUUGGGGAGCCCGGCGUUGGGGACCGGCAGCUACCGCCGACCCCGAAAUACAGUGGCGGCCCGUCACGGCGACCUCUGCGUAGUAAUCCAACCUCGCACCGGGAACCCGACGCGGCCACGCCGUAAAACACCCCAAUUCUGAACGUUGACCUCGGAUCAGGUAGGAAUACCCGCUGAACUUAAGCAUAUCAAUAAGCGGAGGAAAAGAAACCAACAGGGAUUGCCCCAGUAACGGCGAGUGAAGCGGCAACAGCUCAAAUUUGAAAUCUGGUCCCCAGGGCCCGAGUUGUAAUUUGUAGAGGAUGCUUUUGGCAAGGUGCCUUCCGAGUUCCCUGGAACGGGACGCCAUAGAGGGUGAGAGCCCCGUCUGGUCGGACACCAAGCCUCUGUAAAGCUCCUUCGACGAGUCGAGUAGUUUGGGAAUGCUGCUCAAAAUGGGAGGUAUAUGUCUUCUAAAGCUAAAUAUAGGCCAGAGACCGAUAGCGCACAAGUAGAGUGAUCGAAAGAUGAAAAGCACUUUGAAAAGAGGGUUAAAAAGUACGUGAAAUUGUUGAAAGGGAAGCGCCUAUGACCAGACUUGAGCCCGGUGAAUCAUCCAGCGUUCUCGCUGGUGCACUUUGCCGGGCACAGGCCAGCAUCAGUUUGGCGCGGGGGAAAAAGGCUUUGGGAAUGUGGCUCCCUCGGGAGUGUUAUAGCCCAUUGCGUAAUACCCUGCACCGGACUGAGGUACGCGCAUUCGCAAGGAUGCUGGCGUAAUGGUCACCAGCGACC
rnacentral:rRNA from 1 species